rnacentral:rRNA from 1 species
AUUGAACGCUGGCGGCAGGCUUAACACAUGCAAGUCGAGCGGGGAAAGGUAGCUUGCUACCUGACCUAGCGGCGGACGGGUGAGUAAUGCUUAGGAAUCUGCCUAUUAGUGGGGGACAACAUUCCGAAAGGAAUGCUAAUACCGCAUACGCCCUACGGGGGAAAGCAGGGGAUCUUCGGACCUUGCGCUAAUAGAUGAGCCCAAGUCAGAUUAGCUAGUUGGUGGGGUAAAGGCCUACCAAGGCGACAAUCUGUAGCGGGUCUGAGAGGAUGAUCCGCCACACUGGGACUGAGACACGGCCCAGACUCCUACGGGAGGCAGCAGUGGGGAAUAUUGGACAAUGGGCGAAAGCCUGAUCCAGCCAUGCCGCGUGUGUGAAGAAGGCCUUUUGGUUGUAAAGCACUUUAAGCGAGGAGGAGGCUACUUGGAUUAAUACUCUAGGAUAGUGGACGUUACUCGCAGAAUAAGCACCGGCUAACUCUGUGCCAGCCGCCGCAGUAAGAC